rnacentral:sRNA from 1 species
CUUUUACGUCGGCCUCCGCGAGCGUUUGGUAGUGUGGUAGGAACAAUGGCGCUGUCUUCAGUGGCACAGCGGAGCAGUUCUGUGAAGAUGCAAAGAUACACGAAAAAAAUUCCAGAACAUCUGGGAGAAUAUUUAAUGGAAAAUCGCUUGGUUAAAACCUGACACUUAACAGGUAUGUGUUGUUUUAGUACUUUAUGAUUGAGCAUAGCAUUUAAUCCACACCUAGACUAAACCGAAUUUUUUUUGUCAUUGAACAGCAUUCUGAGUGUGGACGAGUAGCCAGUGAAGAUAAUGAAUGUCGGAUGUCACUGACUAGCAGCUUCAUUUUGAAGUAGGUUGUAUGGCUUAAAAGUUCUGUAGUGUUUGUACUGUAAUACUUGCCUUUUAGCUUUACCUUGGUUUGUGGUCAGUGUCACAGAAGUGCAGUUUAAUGUGUGUACAUGUACAAGGUCUCAUUGGUCUAAUCAAUGAUGAAACCUAUCCCGAAGCUGAUAACCUGAAGAAAAAUAAGUACGGAUUCGGCUUCUGAGAUUAAGACCAGUAAUUCAGAGGUGGAGUAAAUUUUGUUGCCGUGAUUUUUUAACAGUUGUGUUAUAAAAUCCUGGGGUUUUUUUUUUUUCUGCCAACAGUGAGGGUCGCUGUCUGCCCAUUGAUAGAGGCCAGAUUGUCUUGGAAGUUCCAAAGUUGCAACGAUUUCUGUAAGUGGAGUUUUUCUGUUUGCUUAGAGAUUAGUGAAUAUCGUGUCCUUGGUCUUAUCUGUGAUGAUCUUAUCCCGAACCUGAACUUCUGUUGAAAAAAAAACUUUUACGGAUCUGGCUUCUGAGAUGGACCGUUAUAAGGACAAUACUUUUUUUUUUUUUUUAAAUACUUUUAAUGCUUUUACAUCAGCUGUUGGAAUGUUGGUAGUCUUGUAAGAAUCUCGUGUUUUUCCUUUUCUAGGGCUAGUGCCACGAGGUUUACUUGACUGUUGUGUGAAAAGCUGAUAAGAAAACCAUCCAGAAAA